rnacentral:rRNA from 1 species
CCUACGGGAGGCAGCAGUGAGGAAUAUUGGUCAAUGGACGCAAGCCUGAACCAGCCAAGUAGCGUGAAGGAUGACGGCCCUACGGGUUGUAAACUUCUUUUAUAUGGGAAUAAAGUGAGGCACGUGUGCCUUGUUGUGUGUGCUUUAUGAAUAAGAAUCGGCUAACUCCGUGCCAGCAGCCGCGGUAAUACGGAGGAUCCGAGCGUUAUCCGGAUUUAUUGGGUUUAAAGGGAGCGUAGGCGGGGUGUUAAGUGAGUUGUGAAAGUUUGCGGCUCAACCGUAAAAUUGCAAUUGAUACUGGGUGCCUUGAGUGCAGCUGAGGUAGGCGGAAUUCGUGGUGUAGCGGUGAAAUGCUUAGAUAUCACGAAGAACUCCGAUUGCGAAGGCAGCUUACUGAACUGCCACUGACGCUGAUGCUCGAAAGUGUGGGUAUCAAACAGGAUUAGAUACCCGGGUAGUC